UAUCCUUCUCGGCCUUUUGGCUCAGAUCAAGUGUAGUAUCUGUUCUUAUCAGUUUAAUAUCUGGUCGUCCCCCAUCGGGGACUACAUAUUAAAUGGAUUUUUCGAACCGGGUCGGAAAUGGGGCUUGCUCCGUCCGCUCCUCGCCUCACCGUAUUGCAGUACCUCCGGGAAUGGUGCAACACUU
rnacentral:snRNA from 1 species